GACAGAGGGUGCAAACGUUGUUCGGAAUUACUGGGCGUAAAGCGCGUGUAGGCUGCUUCGCAAGUCGGAUGUGAAAGCCCUGGGCUCAACCCAGGAAGUGCAUUCGAAACUGCAGAGCUGGAGUCCUGGAGAGGAAGGCGGAAUUCUCGGUGUAGAGGUGAAAUUCGUAGAUAUCGAGAGGAACACCGGUGGCGAAGGCGGCCUUCUGGACAGUGACUGACGCUGAGACGCGAAAAGCGUGGGGAGCAAACAGG
rnacentral:rRNA from 1 species